rnacentral:rRNA from 1 species
GACGAACGCUGGCGGCGUGCUUAACACAUGCAAGUCGAACGGAAAGGCCCUGCUUUUGUGGGGUGCUCGAGUGGCGAACGGGUGAGUAACACGUGAGUAACCUGCCCUUGACUGUGGGAUAAAUUUAGGAAACUGGGGCUAAUACCGGAUAGGAGCUCCUGAUGCAUGGUGGGGGUUGGAAAGUUUCGGCGGUUGGGGAUGGACUCGCGGUGGAUCGGCUUGUUGGUGGGGUAGUGGCUUACCAAGGCUUUGACGGGUAGCCGGCCUGAGGGGGUGACCGGCCACAUUGGGACUGAGAUACGUCCCAGACUCGUACGGGAGGCAGCAGUGGGGAAUAUUGCACAAUGGGCGGAAGCCUGAUGCAGCAACGCCGCGUGCGGGAUGACGGCCUUCGGGUUGUAAACCGCUUUCGCCUGUGACGAAGCGUGAGUGACGGUAAUGGGUAAAAAAGCACCGGCUAACUACGUG